rnacentral:rRNA from 1 species
AUUGAACGCUGGCGGAAUGCUUUACACAUGCAAGUAGAACGGCAGCACGGACUUCGGUCUGGUGGCGAGUGGCGAACGGGUGAGUAAUGUAUCGGAACGUGCCCAGUCGUGGGGGAUAACGUAGUGAAAAUUACGCUAAUACCGCAUACGAUCUAUGGAUGAAAGCGGGGGAUCGCAAGACCUCGCGCGAUUGGAGCGGCCGAUAUCAGAUUAGGUAGUUGGUGGGGUAAAGGCCCACCAAGCCAACGAUCUGUAGCUGGUCUGAGAGGACGACACGCCACAGUGGAACUGAGACACGGUCCAGACUCCUACGGGAGGCAGCAGUGGGGAAUUUUGGACAAUGGGCGAAAGCCUGAUCCAGCCAUUCCGCGUGCAGGAUGAAGGCCCUCGGGUUGUAAACUGCUUUUGUACAGAACGAAAAGGUUUCUACUAAUACUAGGAGCUCAUGACGGUACUGUAAGAAUAAGCACCGGCUAACUACGUGCCAGCAGCCGCAGUAA